rnacentral:rRNA from 1 species
GACGAACGCUGGCGGCGUGCUUAACACAUGCAAGUCGAACGAAGUGGCGAACGGGUGAGUAAUACGUGAGGAACCUGCCUUUCACAAGGGUAUAACACUGGGAAACCAGUGCUAAUACCGCAUAGUGAAAGAUGGCCUCGCGCCUGAUUAGCGAGUAGGUGAGGUAACGGCUCACCUAGGUGAUGAUCAGUAGCCGGACUGAAGGUUGAUCUGCCGCAUUGGGACGGGUACACGGCGCAGACUCAUACGGGGGUCAGCAGUGGGGAAUGUUGGGCAAUGGAGCAAGCCUGACCGAGCAACGCCGCGUGAAGGAAGACGGUCUUCGGAUUGUAAACUUCUUUAGACAGGGACGCGGUACCUGUAGAAUAAGCCACGGCUAACUACGUGCCAGCAGCCGCGGUAAUAC